rnacentral:rRNA from 1 species
CACGUAGGGCGCGAGCGUUGUCCGGAAUUAUUGGGCGUAAAGGGCGCGUAGGCGGUGCGGUAAGUCACCUGUGAAAUCUCCUGGCUCAACUGGGAGCUUGCAGGCGAAACUGCCGUGCUGGAGUGUGGGAGAGGUGCGUGGAAUUCCUGGUGUAGCGGUGAAAUGCGCAGAUAUCAGGAGGAACACCGGUGGCGAAGGCGGGUCUCUGGGCCGAUACUGACGCUGAGGAGCGAAAGCGUGGGGAGCGAACAGG